rnacentral:rRNA from 1 species
GAUGAACGCUGGCGGCGUGCCUAAUACAUGCAAGUCGAGCGGACAGACGAGGAGCUUGCUCCUUUGACGUUAGCGGCGGACGGGUGAGUAACACGUGGAUAACCUACCUAUAAGACUGGGAUAACUUCGGGAAACCGGAGCUAAUACCGGAUAACAUGUUGAACCGCAUGGUUCAACAGUGAAAGACGGUCUUGCUGUCACUUAUAGAUGGAUCCGCGCCGCAUUAGCUAGUUGGUAAGGUAACGGCUUACCAAGGCAACGAUGCGUAGCCGACCUGAGAGGGUGAUCGGCCACACUGGAACUGAGACACGGUCCAGACUCCUACGGGAGGCAGCAGUAGGGAAUCUUCCGCAAUGGGCGAAAGCCUGACGGAGCAACGCCGCGUGAGUGAAGAAGGUCUUCGGAUCGUAAAACUCUGUUAUUAGGGAAGAACAAAUGUGUAAGUAACUAUGCACGUCUUGACGGUACCUAAUCAGAAAGCCACGGCUAACUACGUG